rnacentral:sRNA from 1 species
AAGAACUUAUUAGAGAAGAAGAACAACAACAAGGAAGAUAACGAAAGUCACUAAAAUCUUUCAAGACCCAUG